ACAAAUUUUUUUAAAAAUAUAUAUAUAUAUAUAUUUUUAACUGGAGGACCUCCUAAAGUGAAGGGAAGGGGGUUGGGUUGUAUGGAAAAUAACGAAAAUGCCCUUAUUUUUUUAAGUACUACUUGAUAUACGACGCCGUUUAAGGCUAAUAUCUUAAAUAUACGUACUGAAGAGGCUCGCCAAAGUCAUUCAGUUGAUAAGCUUGUAUUGUUAAGCAACGAAUGGUCUGAUUUUGUUGUCGGUUCAUCAUGUUAACGUCAUGUAACUCUGCUUUUCUAUAUCAACUGGUUAUUGUAGGGAUCACUUGCGCUGGAAGAUACACUCUCCAAAGAGAUAGAUAUGCUUCAGACUUAUCUUGAAGGAAUUCAUCAGGACUCAAUGUUAGACUUGGUGUUAUCAUCUCUUCCACAAGAAGCACGAUCCAAUCGAACAGAUACAGAUACAUAAGUUUAAUAUCUUGAAAGGAACACUUGGACACUUCAGUCUCACUCCACCUGGUGGCGGAGGAAUCUUAGCACUUUCACUAGCACAUAUGGCAUCGUGGCUCAAGCUAUGCUAUAAUGCUACUACUUAAGAAACAAAAGGUAUACACUCAAAACUCUGAAUUUGAAUUGCCUCCUUUGAUUUUUUCUUUCUGUUACUGUUCAAGGAAGUGGACCAAUCUAACGGAGGCGUAAUUACAAACGUCGAUAAUUGUUUGGCCGAGGGCAAACUAGCAGAAGCAGCUGCUGCACUUGAAGAAGGUGUGUUUAAAGGAAGUAAAGCAGAGGAAAUAGUGAAUGAGAAUGGGUGAAACGUGCAAGAAACAGAGCCAUCACAGAACUGGCUGUAACUCUUCUCCAAAUCUUAUGCAACUUGUGCUACUCUCACUUGAUCAUUGAUCAUCGAUUCUCAAUUGUUCUGUUUAUAUCUCUAUAAAGCAGACACUGUUUCUUUUAGGACUCAUCACUGGUUUGGUGUUUAAAAUCACAGUUGUUCUUAUCUGAGUUAGAAUUUUAACAGAUAUUUUGUGAGCAAGUUUAAAAUGCGCUUAAAUUUUUGUUAGCAUC